rnacentral:misc_RNA from 1 species
AUCAGCUUUCAAUUAAAUUAAAAAUUAUUAAAAUCGGUACACCCAGUAAAAAGUUAUUGCGGAUUUUCAAGAAUUUCCCUCGAUUUCUCUGGGAUCCCAUCAUCAGAUCCUGGUUUCCUUAUCUUGGUACCAAACUAGGGAUAUCCCCUUUCCAACAAAAAAAGAAUUGUCAAAAUCGGUACAUCCAGUAGAAAGUUAUGCGGUAUAAUACAACGUAGGUCGACGAAAAAAGCGUCAAGUAAAAACGGAUUAUUAGAUAUAACUCGAAAAGUAGUUGUUAGUUCU